UGAUGUAUUGUUGGACAAAGACACCUCA
rnacentral:piRNA from 1 species